rnacentral:sRNA from 1 species
UGCCCACCUGCCAGAACAGCGGUCCAGCUGCUUCCUGAUGGAUGAUGGGGGAGACCCAAGUUCUGGGGAAGGACUGGUCUAAGGGGCCUUCCCAAGUUCACUGAUAGGUCCUUAAAGGCUGCUUUGCUCAAAGUGGCCCAGGAGAAGUGGGGAGGGAGGAGGGCAUUGCCUAAUGACAUCGUGACCUCCUCAUGCCCUAUGACCUGGGGGGCUGGCUCCUGGUUUCUGAUCAGACCUCUGUUCUCAGGGGAUCCUGCUGAAGCGGAGCGGCAAGUCCCUGAACAAGGAGUGGAAGAAGAAGUACGUGACACUCUGUGACAACGGGCUGCUCACCUAUCACCCCAGCCUGCAUGAUUACAUGCAGAACAUCCACGGCAAGGAGAUUGACCUGCUGCGGACAACGGUGAAAGUGCCAGGGAAGCGCCUGCCCCGAGCCACACCUGCCACAGCCCCUGGCACCAGCCCCCGUGCCAACGGGCUGUCCGUG